ensembl:lncRNA
GAAAAGAAGGGGGUCAGAUAUCAGUGGUAGUUGUAGGUAACAAGACAAAUGGAAAAUUGUAACACAGUAUACAAGGUUUACUUGACUGGGAUAUGGCAGGAUGGUCACACUUUGAAGACUGGGGAAGUUUGGGGGACUGUAUGUCAGAAAAGUAUUCUCUGUGGGUGUUUUAAGUUCCUGAACAUCUUGCAAACAGAAGCAUUGACUGCCCUUGUUCUGGACUACCUUUCCAAGGAUUAUUUGUACAGCAAAUAGCCUUGGAAAGGAGAGAGUGUCUCCCAAUGGAGUAAAGGGCAAGCUUGUUGGCUGUCUGGUGUCAUAAAGAUGCUGGUGCUCUCCAUGGUAGACAAUAGGCAGGCUUACCACUGAUUAUAAAAAAUGUGGGUUCUCUAAGCUCUGGGUUCUUAUCCUGUAGCACAAUCUGGCCUUGUUUGUUUCACUUUUGUCAGAAACUCAGGGAAAUAGGAAAUACAAAUGCUGAUAUUCUGGCUACUUCCACUGCUGUAUGAUACUAUCUUUCAUCUCAGAUAAUGGGAUUUCGUGGUUUCUGUCAGCAUCCAUGAACCCGUGUCAUCUAACUGGUUAGUUUACAAGUAGGGAAACACCUCAGACCCUCCACAGCUUUUGGCAAUAGGGCAUAGAUUCUCAAUUUCUGAUAUUCUUGACUUCAGAUGUGAAAAAUGCCUGUUGAAUUCUAUCUACUAUUAUUAGCACUGUAUUAUACAUGAAAAAAUAGAGUAUCACAAAUUGCUUUCUUUUUUUUUCACUUUAAAUUUAUCAUUUAAAUUUAAAAUAUUUAGCAGAUUAAGGAUCUGGCAUUGUCACUGCAGCAACUUGGGUAACUGCUGUGGCAUGGGUUUGAUCUUUAGCCUGGGAAUUUUCACAUGCCAUGGGCACAGCCCCCCCCCAAAAAAAAAGUAAAAAAAAGUAAAAAAAAAAUUUAAAUAUUUACAAAGGGAAAUGGUUAAACAUCAAAGUUUAAUCCAAGGUUUAUGAUACAAGUCUUUUAAAAGUUGUAACAAGGAAGUAAGGCAUUGAAUUUGUCUAAGCAGCAAGCAGUUUUAUUGAAUUUUCAUUCUCAUCUUGGCUAACACCUGGGUUUUUCUUCUUGACUACUUUUCCUUGUUACCUUAAAUUUUGGUAGAAAUGUUAAUUAUAUUGUCUUUCUUGAAUUUAUGUCACCAACUUAAUGAUUAAAGAAUCAAAAGCUGAUUCAUUGAGGUAUAGGAUGCCAUGCUGAAGGAAUUAUUUACCUUCAAUAUUGAUCCUUAUGCCUGCCAAAUGUAAAUUUAGAAUAGCUCUUUCAAUCCUAGUCUUUCCAUGACCCCUCAGUCAGCUUUCUCUUUUCAGCAAGGUAACUCUAUCAUUAUUCCAAUAAAUAUCAGGUGUCCCUUCCUUCCACUUUUUUUUUCCUUUGAGUGGACUGCAUUGAUUUUAUGUUACUUUUAACCAAACAUUCUUAAAUAACACAUGGAAAGACAAACAUCAUAUGAUAUCACUUAUAUGCAGAAUCUGAAAAAAAAAAGGAAACUAAUGGACUAAAUUGCAGAACAGAAACAGGCUCGGACUUUGAAAACAAACUUGUGGUUACCAAAGGGGACAGGUGGUGGUGCGGAGGGAUGGACUGGGGGUUUGAGAUUGGCAUAUGCAUACUGAGGCAUAUGGAAUGAUUGGCCAACAGAGACCUGCUGUGUAGCAUAAGGAACCCUACCCAGAAUUCUGUGAUGAUUUAUAUGGGAAAAGAAUCUGAAAAAGAAUGGAUUGUGUACUUGUAUAACUGAAUCACUUUGCUGUUUUGUUGUAUAGCAGAAAUUGUCACAACAUAUAAAUCAACUAUACUUCAAUAAAAUUAAAAAAAAAAAGACAGUGGGGGAGUUCCUAUCAUGGCUCAGUGGUUAACAAAUCUGACUAGGAACCAUGAGGUUGCGGGUUUGAUCCCUGCCUUGCUCAGUGGGUUAAGGAUCCGGCGUUGCCGUGAGCUGUGGUGUAGGUUGUAGACGCACCUCAGAUCUGGUAUUGCUUGGCUCUGGUGUAGGCUGGUGGCUCCGAUUAGACCCCUAGCCUGGGAACCUCCAUAUGCUGUGGGAGCAGCCCUAGAAAAAGGCAAAAAGACAAAAAAAAAAAAAAAGACAAUGGGGAAUUUUUAAAGUUCUAUUUGUGGUAUCUUACUCUGAUAUAUAAUAAAAAAUAAAUUAGAAUCUGAACCUGAAUUUCAAUUAUGACAGAAAAGGAAUAUUUACAGCCCAGCACAAAUUGUUUAUGAACUAAUGACAAGUAUUUGUGUUCUCAGUAUUACUAAACUUCAUCUUCCUAGGGAAGACAACACCGUUGAGCCUAAUUAGUGUCAUGUUUCUAAAAUGAUGAUUUUAGAAGUAAACAAGCCAAUGAGAA